GCUCCAGUGCAACAUCAGGAGGAAGUGGAUCAGAAAGACCUUUAAAGGACUUGGAUGGCUGAUCAAAAUGUAGACGUCCACGAGCCCCAAAGGCCUGAGAAUGCUGAUGUUGAUGCUGUGUAUCAUAAAAAGGAGGAAAAGGAGGUUGGUGCAUUGGAGUACCCACCAUUGAGGCUGAAGGCCCAACAGCGGGAUUCAUCAUUGGGUUUGGCGGGGGAUGCAUCAUUGGCAUAGAAGAAGGAGGGAAAGGAGGGUUGAAUGGCCCAGCUGGGGGAUGUGUAGAUAACCAAAGCUUGUAACGAU
rnacentral:misc_RNA from 1 species